AUAAAUAAGUCAUCACACCUAAGUAAAAUAGUGAUAUUAAACUCUUCAAUUUGGAAAUUCAAUUCCAUUUCAAUUUCUUUGUAGGUACUAAGUGUUGUCGAAGGUUUUCCAGUAUACCCCACAACCUCUGAGGAUGCCUGCCAUAGAUGUGGGCGAAACGUCAGGAGAGAAUACUUUUGGAACAUGGCCAUACAGCCCGGAAAACACACAACAAACCUUUGGCGGUGUUCGAGAUGUACUUUCGAUCAGGGACGCUUGCGUGGCAUUGCGGACAGAAUAUGCCCUUUUUCUUCCAUAAGUCUUCUAGGCAAUCCUUACAGAAGUUAUGGCCACAGGACAGGAUAACCGGGUUUUUGAACAGUUCUAGACACACACCGCAAGACAAUUCCUUGGUGAAAUCAUCCGCAUGCAGCUCCCAUGAUGUAUCAGAAGGGCCCUGGAAGAUAGGUCUUUCAUGGAUCGAAGCAAAGGAGGACGUGGAAGGGUUUUUGCUGGUAGUGGAGGACAUGGUCUCAGAAAGAAAAUGCUUAAAGUCGCUAUACUGUCAAGGGAAAAAAGGAGCGGAAUGAAAGCUCAGUCUCUAUGUCAACGUAGAAGUGUUUUUCAUAACUUUGAAAUACAAUAAUGAUUGAUACUCAUGUAUGGAGUAUGGCUUCCAUGUGUCCUUUGACUGUCUUAAAACCAUUUCUUACCUCUCCCCAGUUUAUGUAUUGCAUUAGGAGCUGUAGUGGUGCAAUAGGUUAAAUCUUUGUGCAGCUGAAUUGCUGACCUGAAGGUUGAGUUGCAGACCUGAAAGUUGGUGAUUAAAAUCCACCAAACAGGGUGAGCUCCCGUCUGUCAGCUCUAGCUUGCAGGGACAUGAGAGAAUCCUCCCAGCAGGAUGGUAACACAUCCGGGCGUCCCCUGGGCAACGUCUCUGUAGACGGCCAAUUCUCUCCCACCAGAAGCGACUUGCAGUAUGUUCUCAAGUCACUUCUGACAUGAUAAAAAUGUAUUUAAUUGCAAAUCCAUAUGAAGAUUUGGAUGUGGUGUAGAACAAUAAUAACACAUGCAAUAUUUUUAAAAGUAUGUAAGAAACAAAGACCAACAAUCUAGAAUAUAUAUGGCAGGGUAGAAACUACAUUAAGUUUAUUUAUUUAUCAUGUCAGAAGCAAACCGAGUGGGGACAUGAGAGAAGCCUGCCUGUAGGAUCGUGACACAUCUGGGAAUCUCCUGGGCAACGUCAUUGUAGACAGCUGAUUCUCUCACAACCAGGAGCGACUUGUAACAUGCAACCAAACUACAUUAAGUUAGCUUGCAAAGUAAGUAAUGAACAUUAGGAACUGCCAUUUGCCUAUUGAUAGCUAACGAUUUCUCUGUGUUCAGCUUGGGGCUGAGAUAUGCUAAAUGUAUUGUUCUCAUGUUAUAUAUAUGUCUAAAGACACCCCAGACAAUUACAUGUCUGACCUGGAUUUGAAUUAGAGAUAUUGUCAGACAACUAUCUGGGCAUUUGACAUUAAUAUUACAUUAGAAAAGUAUGGCCAGAAUUAUUAGCAUCGGCUGUUAGGAAUUGUGGGAGUUGCAGUCCAAAACACCGGGGGGGGGGGGGGUGAAGUUUGCCCAUGCCUGGGCUAGAUGCUAAUCCUGGUUUAGACCUAGUUCAGCCACAUCAUUAAAUAUUUUCGUAGUAAGACUGGCAUUGUUCCUCUUUUGCUUUCCUGUUUAUUUCCUAGUUCGUUUCUUACUGACUCACCUUUUUUUUCUUGAGCUAACCUUGUCCAAGCAAGUCCUUAUCCUUUUCUAGAUGGUCCUUUCCCUCCCUCUAGUCCAUUUCUUACAAAUUCACAUAUGUUUUUGAGCUAACCUUGUCCAAGAUGCUCCUUGGAGCUCUGCCUUUCUAUUAGGCAGCUUUAGAAUCCUAUUGCAUAACUGUCACUGGCCAACUGUUGUCCUGAAGAUUCUAUCUGGCCUCCUAGGAUUCUUUCAGCACUUUCUCUGAACAACAAAGAUCUUGGAGUGAGACCUCGAUUCACAUUCGUGCCAUUCUGAUUUGAUUCCACUCAGUCCACAGAAAACAAAAUAAAUAAAUAGUAAUACAAAGAAAAUGGGACAGUAGUCUCUGAGCUUGCUUUUUUCCCACCAGCAAUUCCAAUAAUAAUAAUAAUAAUAAUAAUAAUAAUAAUAAUAAUAAUAAUAUUUUUGUACCCUGCCUCCAUCUCCCCGAAAUGACCCAGGUGGCUUACAUGGGGACGAGCUCAAUCAACAGUUAAAAUAUAAAAUGUACAGCAAUCCAUGCUUGGGCCUUGAAGUCAUGUCACACCUCACUAUUGUCUCUGCUGAUAGUUUAGGUGACCUCUGUUCUCAACACAUGGAAGUUUGGGAUCUUUUCCUUCUUGGAUGCCUACCUGCAAGUGUGAGGGAGUCCAAGAUGGUCUGAAAGAGCCAUGAGCAAAAUGUCUUCGGAUGGGCUUGGCCUGCCUAAUUUGGCUGUGAAAGGUACUUUCGACAGCGUAAGAGGAAUUUAUAAUCUCCAGCAUCGUUGCCAUCUGGAUCUUGAGGCCCAUUUAAAACCAGGAGGCAGGAACCCAGAUUAUGUGCUAGCAUUGGAUCUUCCAUUGCCAACUUGGACCCCUUCUACAUUGCCACAUAAAAUCCAGAUUAUCUGCUUUGAACUGGAUUAUAUGGCAGUGUAAAAGGGCCCUUGGAGGUACCUUGACAGCUGUCAAAAGCUGUCCGGAGCAAGUGCAUAUAUUUCAUGGUAAAACAGUCAAAGCAGUGAAUGGAUACGAUUUUCAGAUCUCAGUUGCAAAUGCUAUGAGUUUCUCCCAAAAGAGCAAAACAAACUUGAGUGGGCAGCAGAUCACCGAGGGAUUGCCAAGAUCAAAGAACAUAAAAUGAAUUUCUCUGCUGGAUCAGAUCAAGGGAACAUCUAGUCCAGGAACAGGCUUCCAAUUAUAACGGAGACAUUAUCUGAAGCAACCUUGAGCCAUUUUCAUUGCCAAUCCUCUUCCACCACAGCAACUGAUACUCACAUUUGGCUAAUUUUGCCAGUGUCAGCCACAUCUGUAAGGCUCCAAUGUAGUUAUAUUUAAUACUAGGGUUUGGUAUUAUUGUUCAUAUAGUACAAAUCUGUUGUGGAGGUCUUAAGUGGCUCCAGUCCAAACUGAGAGCAAACUGUGCAUAGCAGACAUACAUUGGGCAACCCAAGGGUAAAUGUGGGCACCCUAUGCUUCUUUUGAUGACCCCCAAAAUUCUCCAGAUCCAGAAAUUAUUUUGACCAGAAUGAUAAAUUGCUUUGAAAAUGGGUUUUGCAUUUACCGCCCCAAACAGGUGACAAAGGAAACACAAACCAAAGGUCACACUUUGAACUGACUUCCAGUCCAAACUGGGUAACACAGCCUGCCAUGAAUAUAAAAUCUGGCCUCUGUCCCUGAUGUGUAUGAUUGGGCAGUGAAUCCGUCGGUCAAAGCAUCCAGUCAUUGCAAGUAAGGUGUUAUUAACUGUACUUUAUUCCAAUCAUUGCGCAUUUCAGAUAAUGCCAAACAAGAAAUAAUCCAUCACCAAUCUGUAAAACAAGUCUACAUAUGUAAUGUAUUCCAAUAUUUCACUAUAUAUUUCUGCCAGAAAAGGAAGCAAACUUUCAUGAUAGUAAUUUAGGCAGAUGAGCAAAAAUUAGAUUUUUUAAAAGCCCAAAUUGUCAAUAAUCUGAACGUUACAAUCAAGCCAUGAUAGAGCAAGUCUCCAAUGCAAUCUUCAGUCUUGCCUAAUGGGAGGAUCUACUGGAAAGGCGGACACAUCAGUAGCACGUUGAUGCAAGCAGGAACGAUUGGGCAGCGUGCUUAAAAGCAAAGCUUUUCAAACCUGGGAAAGGAAAAAACAUGAGUUUUUGAAAAGAUCAGACCGUGUUAUACAGUGGAUCAAAUGAUGGGGCUGUUCUUAAUAUGUUAAGGAAAUUUUGCCUCCAGCUGUUUAGGCAUUUGCUUCCCACAUCUUUUCCUAGCUACAGCUUCUGAGAAAUGAAGUCCAAAAUAUCUGAAAAGCUGAAGGUUUCCCAUCCCCGCACUAAGCAGUCUCGAGUAUCACUCUUUGAGCCUAACCUCUCAACACUGAUGAGAAAAAAUAUUAUAGAAAUGCGAUGCUUCAUUUUCAUGACUAAACAGGAUUGCAUGAAUUGAUGUAAUCUAUAGGGAGAAAGAUUCAGGGCGCUUCCAGAUAGGUCCUUUGAUCCAAUAUCCUUACCUUACUUCUGGGAUCAUCCGUUUAGUACUCUUGAUCUGUAGAAGAGAACAGUAUCAGUACGCAUGGCUGAUUAAAUUAUCUAACACUUUAAAAGCUUAGAAUGCAGUAGCUAAAUAUUUGCAACCACCAAGAUUAGGACUGUUCUUCCUGAGUCCAACUGCCUACUUAUAAAUAUAUGCAAACGGCUUAAUUGUUCCUGUCUUAAAUAACAGGAAGUGGUUAAGCAGCUUUCCGACAAGACUUUUUGUCACUUGAGCAUUUAUUAACUAUUUUUAUUUUUCAGAAGAAAUAAAACACAAACAGCUCCUAUCAAGUAGUGGUAUGAGAACUAUCCUGUAUCCUAGCUAUGUACAUUCAGAUUCUCAUUUUGAAAAGAGAUAGGUAAAAAAGGGACAAAACAGUGUCACAAGGCAAACUCGUAGGUGUUACAGAAAAAGUGUUAUAUAAUUGCACAGCUACAACAAAAAGCAUUUUACAAUGAGACCCGACAGUAAACUAAAAAUUAAAUUAUGUAAACAGAUUGGUUGCAAACUGAUGUUGUGGAUGAGAAAAAUUUUGUGAGCUCUACUUUCUCUUUCAUGUCUUCAUGUCUGAUAAAUAGUAUUUUAAUAAUGGCGUGUAUAUAUUAUGUGAUCAAUGUGUUGACGAAGGCUUUCAUGGCCUGAAUCACUGGAUUGCUGUGAGUUUUCCAGACUGUAUGGCCAUGUUCCAGAAGCAUUCUCUCCUGACAUUUUGCCCACAUCUAUGGUAAGCAUCCUCUGAGGUUGUGAGUUAUGUUGGAAACUAGGCAUGUGGAGUUUAUAUAUCUGUGAAAUAAUGCUCAGGGUGGGAGAAAGAACUCUUGUCUGUUUGAGGCAAAUAUGAAUGCUGUAAUUGGUCGCCUUCAUUAGCACUGAAUAGUCUUGCAGCUUCAAAGCCUGGCUGCUUUAAAGAAAGAGCGUUUAUAUAUCUGUGGAAUGAUGUCCAGGGUAGGAGAAAGAACUCUUGUCUGUUGGAGGCAAGUGUGAAUGCUGCAGUCAACCACCUUCAUUAGCACUGAAUAGCCUUGCAGCUUCAAAGCCUGGCUGCUUCCUGCCUGGGGGAAUCCUUUGUUGGGAGGUGUUGGCUCCCUAGGGAGAUCAGGCAGGCCUCUACCCUUCUCUCCUUCCGGAAGAGCCUAAAAACUUGGCUCUUCCAAAUAGCCUUCGAGGAUUAAUUAUUGUAGGGCUGAUCUAUCUGCCCAUCUAACAAUAGGAUGCCUGACCAUGAUUAUUUUGCACUUUAUUGACUGUUUUAACUGUGAAACUACUUCUCCCAUGUUGAAGUUUUCUACACUCUGGCCCAGAUCCGUGUUUUUAGCCUUCCCAUAUUUAAUCAUUUUAUGCUAUAUGCUGACUUUUUGACUGUUUACUGAUGUUGAUGUUUUAUUGAUGCAACAUUUGUUUUAUUCUCAAUAUUUGUUUUAUUGUUUUAUUGCUGCUGUUGUAUUGUUGUCGGGCAUGGGCCCAUGUAAGCCGCUCCAAGUCCCCCCGGGGAGAUGGGGCGGGGUAUAAAAAUAAAGUUAUUGUAUUAUUAUUAUUAUUAUUAUUAUUACUAUUAUUAUUAUAUAAAGAGAGCGACAAGAAGAGCAAAGGCACAAAGGACUCACCCAAUUUGUAAAUCAUUGGCUGGGGCAGGGUGAUGUGCUCCACUUUGCAGGCAAACUCCGCCUUCCCAUCAGGAAUGACUUUAGCAUAGACCAGGCGCUCAAAGGUCCAGUCCUUCUUAAAGGAAAGGUCGGACUGCUGCACGUUCUCCAUCGGGAUGCCGUUCUUCAGAAGAGUAAUAUUGAUUUUGGGAGGAUGGAAGCUCUCUGCAUAACAAUGAAAAGUGUUCUCCUUCCCUUUCUCCGCAGGAUGGCGGAAGUAGACUUGUACGCUGGGAGCCUCUGCAAGAACAAAGAAGACACAGAAGACAGAGUGUCCUCUCACCACAUCUUGCUCUGGUUUUUCAAUGAACAUCUCAGAGACUCUCAACCAAUUCAGCAUAGUUUUUGUCUGCCACAAAAACGUUUCUGGAGUAUAACAACUACUUUCAAAAAGCGACCUGAGGACAUACUGCAAGUUGCUUAUGGUGUUAGAGAAUUGGCUGUCUACAGAGACGUUGCUCCAGGGACGUCCAGAUGUGUUACUGGGAAGCUUCUCUCAUGUCCACAUAAGCUAGAGCUGACAGAUGGAAGCCCACCCCGGCUCGCGGAUUCAAACUGGCAACCUUCAGGUCAGUAACCCAAGCUUCAGGUCAGUAAUUCACAAGGGUUUAACCCAUUGCGCCACCGCGGCGCCUUAUGCCUCAUAUAAUAUUAUCAUCAUUGUUGUUGCUGUUGUUGUUAUGCCUCAUAUAAUAUUAUCAUCAUCGUUGUUGUUGUUAUUUAGCUCAGACUACAACUUCUACUACCCUUUAAACUCUGUUUACAUUGUCUAGGGAUUAUGGGAGUUGUAAUCCGACACACCUGGAGGUCGCCAGAUUAGAGUCGCUUUCAUUGGCUGCUAUACAGAUGAGGCCGGUGUUGCUUUUCAGUAGCUCUGAGCUGAAAAAUACAGCCUUGACCUACCAAAAGAAAUGCCGA